GCGUCCGAUUAGCUUGUUGGCGGGGUAACGGCCCACCAAGGCUACGAUCGGUAGGGGUUCUGAGAGGAAGGCCCCCCACAAUGGGACUGAGACACGGCCCAUACUCCUACGGGAGGCAGCAGUGAGGAAUAUUGGUCAAUGGGCGGAAGCCUGAACCAGCCAUGCCGCGUGCGGGAAGGAGGCCCUAUGGGCUGUGAACCGCUUUUGCCUGGGGGCAAUAAGGGCGUCGCGCACGUCCGAUGAGAGUACCAGGCGAAUAAGCAUCGGCUAACUCCGUGCCAGCAGCCGCGGUAAUACGGGGGAUGCGAGCGUUAUCCGGAUUCAUUGGGUUUAAAGGGUGCGUAGGCUGUGCGUCAAGUCGGGGGUGAAAUUCCGGUGCUCAACACCGGGGCUGCCCUUGAUACUGUCGCGCUGGAGUGCGGAUGCCGCCGGAGGAAUGAGUGGUGUAGCGGUGAAAUGCUUAGAUAUCACUCAGAACACCGAUUGCGAAGGCAUCUGGCGAAUCCGUAACUGACGCUGAGGCACGAAAGCGUGGGGAUAGAACAGGAUUAGAUACCCUGGUAUUCCACGCCGUAAACGAUGAUGGCUAACCGCCGGCGACACACUGUCGGUGGCCAAGCGAAAGCGAUAAGCCAUCCACCUGGGGAGUA
rnacentral:rRNA from 1 species